ensembl:lncRNA
UCUGUCUGUCUGUCUCUCUGUCUCUGGUGAGUGAAUGAAGGUGUAAACUCCAGGGUUUUCGGGGUAAUGGCCGUCACAAACCCAUAACGAGUCCCACUUUAGCAGAAACAGCCAUUUUGUGAGUAAAGAGCCAUUUUGUGGUGUUCAUCUCCGAGCAGAGCUGCAGGUGGACUCGACCCUCAGAAAGAAACGUCCUGCUUACGGCUCGAGCCUGCAGCUGCUGAACACCAUCUCAGCUGCCCUGGUCCUAAAUCACCAUCCACAGUGAGCUCAGGAAAGCAGAAACUCCUCCUUUACUGAACUCCUUCAGAGCAGGGGAUGAGUCCGGGGUUUCUUUCCUCACACAUACUUUCAGUUUCUCAAAAAAAAGCCAUCAGUCGAAACUACUGGACAAACUGCAACACACUCGCUGCGUCAUCAUGUUUUCCCACCACAACCCCUUUCACACCACCGCGUCCAACCCCUAACCUUCUCUGUGAGGAGAUUCCCUAACUUUCACACAGGACGUCUCCAGGGUCAGCGCUUUGUCACAGUCACAGGUAAAGCAGCGCGGCAACAAUAUCGGUACCGCCACGAAGGUCAGGAUGCGAUAUCGGUACCGUGAUGAAGGUCAGGAUGUGAUAUCGGUACCGCGACGAAGGUCAGGAUGUGAUAUCGGUACCGUGACGAAGGUCAGGAUGUGAUAUCGGUACCGUGAUGAAGGUCAGGAUGUGAUAUCGGUACCGUGACGAAGGUCAGGAUGCGAUAUCGGUACCGCGACGAAGGUCAGGAUGCGAUAUCGGUACCGCGACGAAGGUCAGGAUGUGAUAUCGGUACCGUGAUGAAGGUCAGGAUGUGAUAUCGGUACCGUGACGAAGGUCAGGAUGUGAUAUCGGUACCGCGAUGAAGGUCAGGAUGUGAUAUCGGUACCGUGACGAAGGUCAGGAUGUGAUAUCGGUACCGUGAUGAAGGUCAGGAUGUGAUAACGGUACCGCGAUAUGGUUAAUAAAAGCGUGUACAUUUGGACGCUGGUGUUGUAUAACGGUCAUAUGAACACCAGGGUGAACACGGUCACGGGUGCGAGUGCCAACCUGUCAGCUCACACAGGACUCGGGGGCAAAGGAACACCAAACACACUGCUUUCAGAAAACACACACACACACACACACACACACACACACACACACACACACACACAGCUGCCCCAUGUGUUUAGCAUACACACAAAAGCCCUGAGAGAGACAGAGAGCGAGAGAGAGAGACGUUUUUCUUCAGAGAAAAAAAGUACUUCAAAGAGCGAGAGAAAAGCGUGAGAGAAAGACAGGGGGAAGAACAAGAGGAACAAAAGAGACGGAGGAUGAAGAACGAAAGAGAGAGAUGACUGAGAACAAGACCGACAAAAACAGAAAAAGGAAAAAGAGACCGAGUGAACGUGAGAGAUGGGGGAAACCGAAGAACAAGAGAGAGACCAGGACGAGAGCGAAAGAAAAAGAGAGAAAGAACUAGAGAGAGCGUAUUGUAGUCUUUUCUCCCUAAUUAUUCAUCUUCAGGAUGUUUAUCACGUCGUGAUCUUUUAUACGUCAAUUACAACCAAUAAAAUAGCAUUCAUUACAUUUGCAUUGGGGUUGAAAACUGUGAUCUGAUUGGUUACAGCGGCACUAUGGGUGGAGCCAGUUAUCUGAUUGGUUACAGUGGCACCGGAGCCUGUGAUCUGAUUGGUUACAGUGGCCAAUCAGAGCCUGUGAUUUGAUUGGUUACAGCGUCACUGUGGGUGGAGCCUGUGAUCUGAUUGGUUACAGUGGCACCGGAGCCUGUGAUCUGAUUGGUUACAGUGGCCAAUCAGAGCCUGUGAUUUGAUUGGUUACAGCGUCACUGUGGGUGGAGCCUGUGAUCUGAUUGGUUACAGUGGCACCGGACUCUGUGAUCUGAUUGGUUACACUGGCACUGUGGGUGGAGCCUGUGAUCUGAUUGGUUACAGUGGCACCGGAGCCUGUGAUCAGAUUGGUUACGGUGUCACCAUGGGUGGAGCCUGUGAUCGGAUUGGUUACAGUGGCACCGUGGGUGGAGCCUGUGGUCUGACAGGUUACGCACAUUUUUGUAGUGGUGGGUCUUUUCUGGUCCUGAAGGCGGGAUCGGCGCGUACCCCUUGUUCUAGUCAAGAGCUGUACUGCUAGCCAGCGAACUCUGACUUUAAAACAAGCAUGAACCUGAGGAACCUUCACUACAGGAAGUGUGGUAUAACUACACCAUCAGCUCCAACCAGGAGUGCAUCUACACACCGAGGCGUGGGGUACUAGCAGAGUGACACCACCAACAGCUCACACGUACCACAGACUUACAGACGGUUAUCUGACGAGGACACGCACAAAUAUUCAUAUAGGAGCUCAUUAAGCUGUCAAAAUACACUCUAGUGCAAACCUUGGGUGUGUAUUUAUAUAAGUCAUUAUUCGACUGAAACUCUACUCUCUCACACACACACAUCUGCUUUCACACACACAACUCGCCUGACCCAGCAAUCCUCACGCACAUUUCAUCCCGUUAGACGAUGAUUUUUUUUUAGCUCGACUUCUAAGUGUCGCAGAUGUGUCCGUGGAGCUCCGGUAAUAAACACUGUGAGGGGAACUUCCAGGCUAGGUGGGGUCGCCUGCUGGAAACAGAAUGACCCAGUUAAUGGCAAAGCGGUGGCUGUAUAACACCAGAGUCAUGAGCACUAGCACGCAGAGCCUCCGGAGUACAAAGGCCUCCACAGAAUAUCGGAAACUUAAUAAGGGCGCGCUCGGCCACGUGUGAACGUCUGAUAACUCGCUCCUGUCUCGGCGCUUUAAUCUGCACAUCCCAGACGCUGCUUCUGUGAGCCAUCAGAAAGUCAAACCUAUGUCAGGGACGUUACCAUAAGCGUAAAUGUAUAUACACAUAUACACACACACACACACACACUCCAAUGCUGAACUAUAUAUAUAUAUAUAUAUAACCGUAUAAAUAUAAAGUCAUCACGACGAGUGAAGAUGGGGAAGAUCACAACGGGGAAGUCGGAACCGUCCGGAAUAUCGACGUUCACGUCGGUUGCGUUGUUGAAUUAAUACGACUCGUAGUGACUACCGUCGCACCGUAGUUUACUCCUAGCAUCGCGAGUUACGUUUUUAAAUAACGGUGAGAAUAUCUCGCUCUAACGUAUUAAAACACAGAGUAGGGAAAGUUAAACGUACGACAUGUUACUACGACAUUAUUACGGUUGCUAGGCAACUAGGUACCAAGGACCAAGACAUGUUGCUACACUGUUACAAUUUAGCGAGCUAGCACAUUAGGGUGUGUUGGUUAAUUAGUGAGAAACGACUCGACUGCGCCGUCUUUGCGCUUAGCCGCGUUAAAGUCACGUAAACGUUAGCAGUAAUCGACGAGUCCUUUGUGCACUGGAGCAAGAACGGUAGUGAAAAUAUUUCGAUAUCUUUUUAACAUCUAAAGAAUAUAAACGUUUACCCUGGCGCAUAGAGCACUGAAAAUAUCGUUCCUAUUGUUCGUGAGAUAUCCCGGCGUAUAAAUCACAGCCCAGCUCCGUCGAAAACAACACCGGAGAUCAAGACAUCGCGUAAACAUGCUAAAAUUAAAUCACCAGACAGUCUGGAGUACACCAGACAGUCACACGGAGUAGACUAGACACCGUGACUGGCUAGCGCUCGUACGAAACGUCGGCCAUUUUAAAAACGAUGCACAGAAUUCGUUUGAAUAUUCCUCAUUCGUUGACGUUUUAAAAAAAAAAUCUUUUAUUUGUCUUGCGAUGCAAAGCGUACGUUAUGACGCAACGAAAAAGUUCAAUGUAGCGUCCAACUUUACGCGUUGUUUAAUUAUUUGAUUACGUUAUCUAGGCAUACGGCUACAUCCUCAGGCUAGUUCAACUAAUAAGCAUGUUAGCUAGCUACUAAAUAAGCUACGGUUUUACGCAAUAAAAACUGUACGGAUUAAACCAAGAAUUAUUAACAUGACACGAUGGGACGUUCCUUAAUCGUUACAAUCCCGUAAUCAUUAAAUCUCUGUUGAACUCCGGACUCUGAUUGGUUCGGAAACGGUGCGGAUUCAUUUCUAAAACGACGUAAUACGUUAUCGUUUCCAUAGUAACAGCUCAUCUGUACGGGACCGGUACGGCGUACGCUCUGCUGUAAAGCAAUUAUUAGUACAGAAAAAUCGCCGAUACGGUGACGGCUGUCUGUAAGGAGGCGUCUAUGUAAUAUUUAUAUAUGGAAGGAGUCUCCAGUGU